GUGACUGUAGCUCAAUGGCAGAGCAACGGAAUGUGGCUCCGUUGAUGCGGGUUCAACUCCCACCAGUCACC
rnacentral:tRNA from 1 species